CAAAGGUUUGGUCCUAGCCCUUCUAUUAGCCGCCAGUAAGAUUACACAUGCAAGUAUCAGCCCUCCGGUGAAAAUGCCCUUUUAAUCGUUAGUGAUGAAAAGGAGCGGGUAUCAAGCACACCACACAGUAGCUAAAGACACCUUGCCUAGCCACACCCCCACGGGAUACAGCAGUGACAAAAAUUAAGCCAUGAACGAAAGUUCGACUAAGCUAUACUGACUUAUUAGGGUUGGUCAAUUUCGUGCCAGAGCACCGCGGUCAUACGAUUAACCCAAGUUAAUAGACAUACGGCGUAAAGCGUGUUAAGGAGAUUUCCCACAUACAAUAAAGUUAAAUCUAAUGCUAUGCUGUAGAAAGCUCCAGCUAAGAUAAAAAUAAACUACGAAGGUGACUUUAAACAAUCCGACACACGAUAGCUAAGACACAAACUGGGAUUAGAUACCCCACUAUGCCUAGCCCUAAACCUAAAUAGCCAAAACAACAAUGCUAUUCGCCAGAGUACUACUAGCAACAGCUUAAAACUCAAAGGACUUGGCGGUGCUUUAUAUCCCUCUAGAGGAGCCUGUUCUAUAAUCGAUAAACCCCGAUAAACCUCACCAACUCUUGCUAAUACAGCCUAUAUACCGCCAUCUUCAGCAAACCCUAAAAAGGAGACAAAGUAAGCAAAACUACAGAACAUAAAAACGUUAGGUCAAGGUGUAGCCCAUGAGUUGGAAAGAAAUGGGCUACAUUUUCUAACAUAGAAUAUCAACGAAAAUUUUCGUGAAACCGAAAAUAGAAGGAGGAUUUAGUAGUAAAUUAGGAAUAGAGAGCCUAAUUGAAUUAGGCCCAUGAAGCACGCACACACCGCCCGUCACCCUCCUCAAGUAUAAAAUACAAACACCAACCCUAUUACAAACGUAAAAUAUACAAGAGGAGACAAGUCGUAACAAGGUAAGCGUACUGGAAAGUGCGCUUGGAUA
rnacentral:ncRNA from 1 species